GAUGAACGCUGGCGGCGUGCCUAAUACAUGCAAGUCGAGCGAAGCGGGGAAGGGUGAGUAACACGUGGAUAACCGCCUAUACGACUGGCAUCAAUUCGGGAAACCGGAGAUAAACAGGAUACUCAUAGAUGGAUCCGCGCUGAAUUAGCUAGUUGGUAACGUAACGGCUUACCAAGGCAACGAUUCAUAGCCGACCUGAGAGGUUGAUCGGCCACACUGGAACUGAGACACGGUCCAGACUCCUACGGGAGGCAGCAGUAGGGAAUCUUCGGCAAUGGGCGAAAGCCUGACGGAGCAACGCCGCGUGAGUGAUGAAGGUCUUCGGAUCGGAAAACUCUGUUAGUAGGGAAGCGGUACCUAAUCAGAAAGCCACGGCUAACUACGUGCCAGCAGCCGCGGUAAUUC
rnacentral:rRNA from 1 species